GACCAUGUAAGCAGAUCACAGAAGCUAUUCACAGAUCAUCAUCAGCCAGAGGGAAAUGAAAUAAUAACGCUGACCAUUUGUGGAGCACAUUCUGUCUGGAGGCAAAGGAUGCCAAGAUGGGAAAGCCACAUAAUGGAAGGAUCCUGGAUUUCAGAGCUGUCACUUGGAGGAGGGGCACCCAGUGAAGAGUGGCCAUAUGGAUUUGAUCCCUAUCCUUCAGAGGUGCUCAGCCUAAGGGAACACGGAUAGUAGAUUAAGCACUGACCAGAUAUAUAGAAGCACUUAGGAACUUUGUUCUACUAUUCUGCACUGAAGGAACUUUCAGAACUUUCCAGUGCUUCAGGUUGGGGUCCGGCUCAAGUUUGUACAUUCCAACUUGUUGUUUGGGCCUUGUUGGACAUAACUGAAGUCUGGAUGGCAGGGUGAAAAUUGGAUAAACAGCCACACUGACUCAGGGGAGAUUUUUUUUUAAUGCAAACAUCUGUUUCUUGAAUUUGGCCAUGGGGUAUAAAUCCUGCCUUCUCUCAGCCUUACAGAGGAAGAAAACCCUUUCCAAGUUUCCUCUGAUACUGGGUUUAUGCCCAAUUAUAGUUUAGGCAUGAAGAAACUGAAGCAUGGAGGAAAAACUUAGCAACUAGCCCAACGUCACACAGGCAAGCCAGCCUUGACAAUGUGCUGAUGGCAACCU
rnacentral:lncRNA from 10 species